UACUUCCUUUGGAAAAUAACUUUCCUUGUGUUUCUUAUCCAAAGGCUGAUUUUUGGAGCACAUCUUCUAUUCCUCUCUGUCGUUUCAAGGUUUACAGGUCUGGCUUGAUAUAAGAUCAAUCUUGUGAAGCUCUUGAAGUGGAUUUUGCUAACAAGUAUCUUGGAGGUGGUGCUCUUCACAGGGGUUGUGUACAAGUUUGCUUUCAUGGAAAAGAUGGACCCUUAUUCUGAUUAUCAAAUUAUUUGGUCAAUUAGAAUUGUUCUUGACUUGUACUACUAGCCUUGUUUUAUUCUCCUGCACAUGUUCAUGAAACCAGAUUUAAUUCAAUUUCACUUAUCCAUGAAAUAGCACUGAUUGAUUGCAGAGUUUAAGAAAAAUUUAUCUAAUUCAAAUCUUAGUCUCCAGAAAUGUAAAUUAUUUGGUAUUUUGAUUCUAUUGCUUCCUUGCAUGUGGAGCUUAUUCAUGUUAAUCUUAGUCUCCAUAGAUUGUUAUGAAGAAUGGGAAAGUUUCUACAAAAUUGGCUAUGUUUCAGUAAAGUAAAGCUAGUUUUACACUAUGUUUGGCAAGCUAGAAUAGAAAAGAAAAGAAAUAAUUUGUCAAGUUAAGAGAGAGAAGAAAAUAAGAGAAAAGAUUGUGUUUUUUUUUUUUUAACUACAUAAAAAAAAAUUUAAGAAAAAGGCCCUCUUACAGCCAAUAUUACUAAAUAAACUUUGAUGUUUUUAUGCAUCACAACACUUCUUAG